UAUUCUGUCUGAUGAGGAGAAUAAGAGCCAGUUUGUGGUAUUGACAGAAGAAUGAAAGUAAAGGAAGCUUACUGCAGGAAAGAAAUCCCUCAGAGUCCUGAAGAUACAGCUUUCAGAACUUAGGUGAAGCAAGAGGACUCAAGGUGUGCAAGAAUGGACAGUACAGAAUGCUCUGCUACACUGCUCAGAUUCCCCCUUCAGGAAGGAAGGACAAAUUCACUCAACUUCUGGGAGCAUUGAUGGUUGAGCUCUCAGCCAUCAGACCUUUUUGGAAGUUGCCCUCUUCUGAAAAGAGGCACAUUGCCCAAGAUCUUUCCUCCUCCAGAGCGCAGGCUGCACCUGAAGUCUGAUUGAUGUGGGGUAUGAUGGUCUGGUCUCCUUUCCCCAUCUAAAGGACUGUUCUAACCUCAGGGCUCUCCUUGAGUUUCCUUAGUUAGUUCUUAUUACUAUGUUGCAGUCCAACUUCUUCUUUGGCCUAAUUCUACUUUCCUCCCAUUCCCCAAUUGUUGAUCCUGACAGCAAUUUCCCCCCAAAUUUCUGUAAACUAAGCAUGAUCUCAGAGUCACCUGACCUGCAACAUUAUUACAUACACUAUAGUCCGUGCACUUAAAGAUUUAGUGAAAGUAUGCUGCUGAAGCUUGCCAGAACUUCCCUUCUUCCACUGAAAAUUUGUCUGUUCAUAGAUAUACACCAUUCGUUCUCUUCUCUACUUUGGCCAAUUAUCUUAUGUUUGGGAAGGUGUUCUGCUAGAAGACAAAAUAGCAAUUCUUAGAACUAGAAAGAAAAACACAUCAAAGUCUGUCCUUUCUUAUGUCUUUUCUAUCUACAACAAAUACCCUGUGAUAAAAAGGAUGAUAGGAAAUAUAAGUAGUUUGAGUCCACCAAAUAUUUGGCUUGAAGUAUUUGGGUAUGAAAUACAAACUCACUUGACCUGGGCUCAAAUUUGCCAGCACUUCUUUUCUUUCUUCUCUUUUCAGAAACAGACUUUAUUUAUAUCAAUGUUAACAUCAAUCACAUAACCAUCAGGAAGGCUGUAACUUUGAUUUUUUUUUGUCCAAUAGUUGGGCCAAGUUUACAUUUCUCUUAUUUUAUUUAUUUAUUAUUAUUAUUUUUUUGAGAUGGAGUCUUACUCUGUCACCCAGGCUGGAGUGCAAUGGCGUCAUCUCAGCUCACUGCAACCUCCGCCUCCUGGGUUCAAACAAUUCUCCUGCCUCAGCCUCCUGAGAAGCAGGGAUUACAAGUGUGUGCCACCACGCCCGGCUAAUAUUUGUACUUUCAGUAGAGAACGGGGGUUUCACCAUGUUGCUCAGGUGGUC
rnacentral:lncRNA from 1 species